rnacentral:rRNA from 1 species
UAGUCCAUGCCGUAAACGGUGGGCGCUAGGUGUGAGGGUCUUUUCACGACUUUCGUGCCGUAGCUAACGCAUUAAGCGCCCCGCCUGGGGAGUACGGCCGCAAGGCUAAAACUCAAAGGAAUUGACGGGGGCCCGCACAAGCGGCGGAGCAUGUGGAUUAAUUCGAUGCAACGCGAAGAACCUUACCUGGGCUUGACAUACACCGGAUCGGGCUAGAGAUAGUCUUUCCCUUUGUGGCUGGUGUAC